rnacentral:rRNA from 1 species
UGGGGAAUAUUGGACAAUGGGCGCAAGCCUGAUCCAGCAAUGCCGCGUGUGUGAAGAAGGCCUGCGGGUUGUAAAGCACUUUAAGGUGGAAAGAAGGCCUGAGGGCGAAUACCCCUUGGGAUUGACGUUACCACCAGAAUAAGCACCGGCUAACUCCGUGCCAGCAGCCGCGGUAAUACGGAGGGUGCAAGCGUUAAUCGGAAUUACUGGGCGUAAAGCGCGCGUAGGCGGUUCACUCAGUCUGCUGUGAAAGCCCCGGGCUUAACCUGGGAACGGCAGUGGAUACUGGUGGGCUAGAGUAUGGUAGAGGGGAGUGGAAUUUCCGGUGUAGCAGUGAAAUGCGUAGAGAUCGGAAGGAACACCAGUGGCGAAGGCGGCUCUCUGGACCAAUACUGACGCU